GGUGAGCACUCUUGCCACUAGGCCAUAUCUCCAGCCCCAGUUCAUGAGUAUUAUGUCAGACAUAUUAGCAGUAACAUAAUUUUUUAAAUUAUUUAAAUUAAAAUUUUCUUUAACUUUUUAAUGUAGCAAAUGUAUAUGAAAUUUAUCCUUUCAGUCAUUUCAAAGUA